rnacentral:rRNA from 1 species
GACAGAGGGUGCAAACGUUUGUUCGGAAUUACGUGGCGUAAAGGGCUCGUAGGCGGCCAACUAAGUCAUACGUGAAAUCCCUCAGCUUAACUGGGGAACUGCGUGUGAUACUGGAUGGCUUGGAUUUGGGAGAGGGAUGCGGAAUUCCAGGUGUAGCGGUGAAAUGCGUAGAUAUCUGGAGGAACACCGGUGGCGAAGGCGGCAUCCUGGACCAAUAUUGACGCUGAGGAGCGAAAGCCAGGGGAGCAAACGGG